rnacentral:rRNA from 1 species
CCCGGUGGUGCCUAUCAUGCAGUCGAACGCGUCUUGGUCAAUGAAGUUGAGUGCUUGCAUUUAACUGAUUUGACAUUAAGACGAGUGGCGAACUGGUGAGUAACACGUGGGUAACUUGCCCCGAAGCGGGGGAUAACAUUUGGAAACAGGUGCUAAUACCGCAUAACAACAAAAACCACAUGGUUUUUGUUUAAAAGAUGGUUUCGGCUAUCACUUUGGGAUGGACCCGCGGCGUAUUAGCUAGUUGGUGAGGUAAUGGCUCACCAAGGCAAUGAUACGUAGCCGACCUGAGAGGGUAAUCGGCCACAUUGGGACUGAGACACGGCCCAAACUCCUACGGGAGGCAGCAGUAGGGAAUCUUCCACAAUGGACGAAAGUCUGAUGGAGCAACGCCGCGUGAGUGAUGAAGGGUUUCGGCUCGUAAAACUCUGUUGUUGGAGAAGAACGGGUGUCAGAGUAACUGUUGACAUCGUGACGGUAUCCAACCAGAAAGCCACGGCUAACUACGUGCCAGCAGCCGCGGUAAUACGUAGGUGGCAAGCGUUGUCCGGAUUUAUUGGGCGUAAAGCGAGCGCAGGCGGUUUUUUAGGUCUGAUGUGAAAGCCUUCGGCUUAACCGGAGAAGUGCAUCGGAAACCGGGAGACUUGAGUGCAGAAGAGGACAGUGGAACUCCAUGUGUAGCGGUGAAAUGCGUAGAUAUAUGGAAGAACACCAGUGGCGAACGCGGCUGUCUGGUCUGCAACUGACGCUGAGGCUCGAAAGCAUGGGUAGCGAACAGGAUUAGAUACCCUGGUAGUCCAUGCCGUAAACGAUGAGUGCUAAGUGUUGGAGGGUUUCCGCCCUUCAGUGCUGCAGCUAACGCAUUAAGCACUCCGCCUGGAGAGUACGACCGCAAGGUUGAAACUCAAGGAAUUGACGGGGGCCCGCACCAGCGUGGAGCAUGUGGUUUAAUUCGAUGCUACGCGAAGACCUUACCAGGUCUGACAUCUUCUGCUAACCUAGAGAUAGGCGUUCCCUUCGGUACGAAAUGACAGGUGGUGCAUGGUUGUCGUCAGCUCCGUGUCGUGGAGAUGUUGGGCUA